AUCUAUACAGUGAACUGCGAAUGGCUCAUUAAAUCAGUUAUCGUUUAUUUGAUAGUACCUUACUACUUGAAUAACCGUUGGUAAUUCUAGAGCUAAUACAUGCUAAAAAUCCCGACCUCUGGAAGGGAUGUAUUUAUUAAAUAAAAAACCAAUGCCUUCGGGCUCCUUGGUGAUUCAUGAUAACCUUUACGAAUCGCAUGGCCUUGCGCCGGCGAUGGUUCAUUCAAAUUUCUGCCCUAUCAACUUUCGAUGGUAGGAUAGUGGCCUACCAUGGUUUCAACGGGUAACGGGG
rnacentral:rRNA from 1 species